AUUUGCCACUUUUCAGUCUCCUUCCCACAUGUUUCGGACAUGCACAAGUCUUUGCAUAAAUCUACCAACGCAUGACCACUUCUUUUUCUUAUUUUCUUUUUCUUCCCCUGCCUUGGCUUCUCUUUUCUAGUUCCUUCUUUUCCUUUCUUUUAGAACACAGCCGAGAGGAAGAGAUGAGGGAGAGACCAAAAGAGGGAGAAGAAAGAGAGAACCGGUGGGUGAGCCACUGGUUGGGACGGACGGGAACGCUGGGCCGGUAGGCCACGGCGAAGCCACGGGGAGCCUGAUUUCCGUUACUUUCUCAGUACCCAAACCAAGAGGAAACCGUUUUAGGAUGUAAUAAGCCGGAGUCACUUUUUGGUAAUGGCAUAGACUUCGCUAAGGGCAAUAAAUAUUUUGGGGGACUGUUGUAACCUUUGUAUUGUACAAUAUGUUUCCCUUUUGGAAUUUAUAGCAUUGUAAAAAGCUACUCUUUUGUGCAUGUAAAUAGAAUAGAUGGUUAAGAUCUAUAUCUAUUAGAGGCAUGCUUUAUGCA